rnacentral:lncRNA from 1 species
AUGGUGGAUGGAGUCAAGGAGGUCCACGGAGACCAGGACUUGGCAUGCUAUUGCUAUAACAUCGCUCUCCGAGGAGCUAAGCCUGCCAAGUUCUAUUCGGUUGAAGGGUUGGACACCAUGAUGAAUUGGCUGAGGAGCAUGGAAAACCAGCCAAAGAUCUUAUAACCAUUCUCUUGGCAGAUGGGAACCAAGGGCACACUAUCCAGAUAGGGUCAAACUUGGAUCAGAUAAUAAAAGAUCAACUAACCUCCUUUUGCUAGAGAAUGUUGACGUCUUCACUUGGACACUGACAGACAUGUCGAGCAUCAGCCCCUC